rnacentral:rRNA from 1 species
UACGUAGGUGGCGAGCGUUGUCCGGAUUUACUGGGCGUAAAGAGCGCGCAGGCGGUCGUUCAAGUCGGAUGUGAAAGCCCCCGGCUCAACUGGGGAGGGUCAUUCGAUACUGAUCGACUCGAAGGCAGGAGAGGGAAGCGGAAUUCCCGGUGUAGUGGUGAAAUGCGUAGAUAUCGGGAGGAACACCAGUGGCGAAGGCGGCUUCCUGGCCUGUUCUUGACGCUGAGGCGCGAAAGCUAGGGGAGCAAACGGGG